CUGUUUGCAUUCACUCCGUUCUGCCACCCUGUGAAGAAGGUGUUUGCUUCUCCUUUGCCUUUCACCAUGGUUGUAAGUUUCCUGAGGACUACCCAGCAAUGCGAAACUGCCAGGAAGAGCAAGGGGAGAAAAAGAUUUGUCCAUGGGAACAAGUACUCAUGCUCUAAAGGACAAUUUCAUUUGAACCCACUAAUUUCCUUUUCAUGAAAAAUUUCAAAGAUAAAGCAACAUAAAAUAUGAGGACAAAGAAAAGGGAGACGGUCUUCAAGGAGAAUUUGUGCCUUUAAGUUUUUACUGGUACCUCAGUCCUUCAGCCUGGAGCUACUCAAAGAUGAAUCAUGAAAAAGAAAAAAACUGUAUUUCAAACAGGUUCAGUGGUGUAUGUGUGUGCUACAGCAAAAGCUGGUUGUAGCAAAGUUUCAUUUCAAACUGUAUGAUUUGGGCUGCGCAAGGUGGCUCAUGCCUGUAAUCCCAGCACUUUGGGAGGCCAAGGUGGGCUGAUCACCCUGAGGUCAGGAGAGACCAGCCUGGCCAACAUGUUGAAACCCCAUCUCUACUAAAAAUACAAAAAUUAGCCAGGUGUGGUGGCACGGGCCUGUAAUCUCAGCUACUCAGGAGGUUGAGGCAGGAGAAUCGCUUGAACCCAGGAGGCAGAGGUUGCAGUGAGCCGAGAUCGUACCACUGCACUCCAGCCUGGGUGACAGAGUGAGCCCACCGCUGCACUGUGGGAACCCCUCUCUGGGCUGGCCUAGGCUGGAGCCGGCUUCCUCGGCUUGUGGGGAGGUGUGGACAGAGAGGCGCGGGCGGGAACCGGGGCUGCGUGCCGCGCUGGCAGGCCAGCGCGAGUUCCGGGUGGGCGUGGGCUCUGCGGGCCCCACACUCCAAGCGGCCGGCUGGGCGCCGCUGGCCCCAGGCAGUGCGGGGCUUAGCACCCAGGCCAGCAGCUGCGGAGGUCCCCCAGCAGUGCUGACCCGCCAGCGCUGAGCUCGAAUUCUCGCUGGGCCUCAGCUGCCUCCCCGCGGGGCAGGGCUGGGGACCUGCAGCCCGCCAUGCCCGAGCCUCCCCCCCGCAGUGGGCUCCUGCACGGCCGGAGCAUCCCCGAUGAGCGCCACCGUCUGCUCUGCUGUGCCUGGUCCCAUCCACCACCCAGGGGCUGAGGAGUGCGGGCACAGGGCACGGGACUGGCGGGCGGAUCCACUAGGUGAAGCCAGUUGGGCUCCUGAGUCUAGUGGGGACUUGGAGAACUUUUAUGUCUAGCUGGAGGGCUGUAUACACACCAAUCAGCACCCUGUGUCUAGCUUAAGGUUUGUAAAUGCACCAAACAGUGCUUUGUGUCUAGCUAAUCUAGUGGGGACUUGGAGAACCUUUAUGUCUAGCUAAAGGAUUGCAAAUACACCAAUCAGCACUCUGUGUGUAGCUUAAGGUUUGUAAAUGCACCAAUCAGCACUCUGUAUCUAGCUAAUCUGGUGGGGACUUGGAGAACCUUUAUGUCCAGCUAAGGGAUUGUAAAUACACCACUCAGCACUCUGAGUCUAGCUCAAGGUUUGUAAACACACCAAUCAGCACUCUGAGUCUAGCUCAAGGUAUGUAAACACACCAAUCAGCACCCUGUAUCUAGCUCAAGGUUUGUAAACGCACCAAUCAGUGCCCUGUGUCUAGCUAAUCUGGUGGGGACUUGGAGAACCUUUAUGUCUAGCUAAGGGAUUGUAAAUACACCAGUCAGCACUCUGUGUCUAGCUCAAGGUUUGUAAACACACCAAUCAGCACCCUGUGUCUAGCUUAAGGUUUGUAAAUGCACCAAUCAGUGCUCUGUGUCUAGCUAAUCUGGUGGGGACUUGGAGAACCUUUAUGUCUAGCUAAGGAAUUGUAAAUACACCAAUCAGCACUCUGUGUCUAGCUCAAGGUUUGUAAACACACCAGUCAGCACCCUGUGUCUAGCUCAAGGUUUGUAAACACACCAAUCAGUGCUCUGUGUCUAGCUAAUCUAGUGGGAACUUGGAGAACUUUUGUGUCUAGCUCAGGGAUUGUAAAUGCAUCAAUCAGCUCUCUGUAAAACAGACCAAUCAAAACAGACCCUGUCAAAAUGGACCAAUCAGCUCUCUGUAAAACAGACCAAUCAGCUCUCUAUAAAAUGGACCAAUCAGCAGGAUGUGGGUGGGGCCAGAUAAGGGAAUAAAAGCAGGCUGCCAGAGCCAGCAGUGGCAGCUCACUGGCAUUCCAUUCCACCUUGUGGAUGCUUUGUUCUUUUGCUGUUUGCAAUAAAUCUUGCUGCUGCACACUCUUUGGCUCCACAGUGCCUUUAUGAGCUGUAACACUCACCACGAAGGUCUGCUGCUUCUCUCCUGAGGUUAGCGAGACGCCGACUCCAACAGGAGGAAUGAACAACUCCGGACGCGCUGCCUUAAGAGCUGUCACACUCACUGUGAAGGUCUGCAGCUUCACUCUUGAAGCCUGUGAGACCAUGAACCCAUCAGAAAAAAGAAACUCCGAACGUGUUUGAACAUCAGAAGGAACAAACUCCGGACACACCAUCUUUAACACUCAUCGCGAGGGUCUGCGGCUUCAUUCUUAAAGUCAGUGAGACCAAGAACCCAUCAAUUCCGGACACAGCUGGAGUGCAAUAGCGCGGUCUCAGCUCACUGCAAUCUCCAUCUC
rnacentral:lncRNA from 1 species